ACGGGUGUAGCUCAGCUGGUAGAGUAGUGGUCUCCAAAACCAUUUGUCGUGGGUUCGAAUCCUACCACCCGUGCAA
rnacentral:tRNA from 1 species